AAAAAUAACACCUAUUUACCAACAGUAAUUCACCAAAUACCUCUGACAGGCCAAGUAAAAUGGUUUUCUCAGUUGCUGAGAUAAAAGUAUGGAACCAAACCUGCAGACUGCAUAAAUAAAUCUGCCUCUUUUUAGGCCCAGUGGAUAGCACUAACAUACACCAGCUGAGGACUGGACUCCCAUAUAAGUUCAAAGAAAAUUUCCUUAGCAAAGAUACUCAUGAAUGGAGUCUGCUGUGAAACAAGAGAAUUGCUAUAGUUUUACCUGAAAUCUGUGCUCAGGCUUUCGCCACAAAUGCCCAGGGUGCCUGCUCUGUAGUGAGGUGCUCUCUUCAUUCACCUCAGUCUUCGGGGUUAUUGCCACCCACACCUCGUUUUGCCUGUGUCCUUGGUAUCCUCACUACAGCAGCUUUUAAAAUGGUUUUUCAUGGGCAAUUCUACCCUUUCUACCCAGAUUCACUUCAAGAGUAGAGAAAACUCCUGUGAAAGAAAGUAACUUCAUUUAGAGUAAGAAAGAAAGUAAGAUCAGAAAAAGAUUGGUGCUCCUUUAAAAAAAAAUCAGAGAAGGGAUUCCUGUCAGCAGGAUUUUGAGGGGUCAUCUCUUCUGUCAGAAAUGCACUCUGUCACUGCAGCCAAAUUCUUGCUCAAUCUUUUUUUUUUUUAGAAAUCUGCUAUAAUGGUAUUUCCAGAUACCUUAGUACAUAAUAUUGCAGCACUUUAUGAUCUUACUGCUAGAAGUAAUUAUCUCCAAACUACUUAAUACAUCCUUGGUAUAACUUAGGCUCAGUAGACAUGGAAAAAAAUUACAGUUUCCUUUUACAUAUUUUAAGAAUAGGACUGCAAAAUCCUCUCUUCAGAGCUUCAUGUCUGUACUGACACUUCCCCUGUCAGCCUCUUCAUCUUUUCUGUUCAACAUCUCUUUGGCCAGUCCUCUCCCGUCGUGUCCUUGCAUAGCUGCCUCCUUGUAACUCAGAAAACAACAGAGCUACAUUAAUCCAUAAUAAAACAUAUCUUCAUAUGUCCUGAUUUUCAUUGCAGUGAUCAAGCUUGCUGUACUGAGAAUAUGACUUGCAUGUUAGUUUUCCCUGUGCAUUGCUCGCCUGGUGACCUUACUGUGCCUUUAGACCUUGUGCUCCUUUUUCAUGUUCCUGCUACAAAUGUCACAGCUUGGACUCUUGAAAGAGAUAAAAAAAUGCUGCUCUCAGAUUACCUCUCCUGUGUCAUCUUCAUUUCAAAUCCUUUUGCCCUCACAGGGCAUUAGUAACUUGUUUUUCAGCUUUUAUUUUUGAGCACUGUAGGAUGGUUCUGCACUGACAUCAGGCAAUCCUCUGUCCUGUUUUCGUCUGACUGCAAAGUUUCCCCUGAGAAGCUGAGAUGAUUCAGGUCUGUCAAUGGAAGAAUGAAUGUCAUCUAUUCAGCAUGCGGUGGUGAUAAAAGGAAUAAACAUCCAAAAGCUGUGGGUCUUGGAGUUCAUCAAAUCUGUUUUUUGGCAUUGCUGCUUUUAAUGUGAAAAGGUCAGAGUACCACACUUAAAAAUAGGUACAAUUGGAAAGAAAUUAAAAUAAAUAAACAGUGGUUCCCACUGGGAUAAACAGAGAAACUCUUGCCUUAAGAAAAAAUCAGUAUCUGUUCCCAUAAAGCUCAUCAUUGACACAAACCCACAAACAGAUAUGCCAGUUCUCAUUCGCACCUCCCUUACUCAGUCAUGCCAGUACAUGUCUGUGGAGAGACUGCUCCAGUGCUCUGUGUGCCUGGGAAUGAGAGGCAGUGUGGGAGAGGAGCCACUUGGUGAAUGUGACCUUAGUCACAAGGCUGUGGAACAUCCCUCAGCUGAAUCAUUCCUCCCUUUUAAAAAGUCUUGGGCAAUGCUUUGGGACUCAUCGACCUGCAGGGACACUGAACUGUUCUGCUGAUGUGUGUGGGAGGGAGGAAGGCACAAGUUUUAAAAAGGACAAGUCCAUUAAAAAAAACAACAAAGAAAAGCAAAACCAACAAUGUAUUAUUUUACUGCAAAAUAUGCUGGAGGAUUUCAGGGCCUUGGUUGCUGAAGGCCCUCAAAUUCUUCUCCAGACAUAAAUAUGUGAACAAAUUAAGCUCUUUGUGGUUUUGGCUGAUCCCAGCCAUGUUUAGUCUUAAUCUAUCUCAAUCAUGAGCUACCUUUUAAAAAUAACAUUUUGUGGUUCCAAAACAUCUUUCGCUAAUCCUUGCUUAGUUUGGAAAAGAAUUAUAUUUGGAAGGAUGAACAUGUCCAUGUGGCUUUGAGGGAUACUCUCUUUACAGUUCUCAUCCAUCAUAAAUUUCCUUGAAAAAUAAUAUAUAAUGCUUCAGCAUCAUACUACUGAACACUGGAUUCUAAACAAUAUGGGGUUUUUUUCAAUCUACAUCUUGUAGAGAGAAAAAAAAUUAAAUUAUUGAAAAUAUGCCAAAUUGAUACAUGGAUGUACUUGGACCUUCUCCAUAUUGGAAAUUAGAGGCAUCAGUGCUACUUACCACACAAGAAGCUAAGGAGAAAGAUACAAAAAUUUUAUAAUAUUUCAAAGAUCAUGACCACAAAUAUGUCUGGAAAAUGUCUGACAUUUCACAUUGAGAUGUAAGAAGAACAUUGAAGAACAAGAACUUGGCUUUAAUUGCUGAAUGUAAAGAAAACAGUUUCUGAGAUUAGUUUCUAAUCCAUGUGUAAUUUUUAAAAAAGGCUUUUAAAGGGUUCAUUUCAGGAUAUCUUUUACACUCUUUUCUCAAGUGAACUAUUAAUUUUCAUUUCUGAUUCUCCUCUCAAAUUAGAGCAGUUUGACAGACUACAAGUCUUGAGGAAUCUGGUAUCAAAUUCCCUUUUUAUACUUCUUAAUCAAACAUUUAUUGCUUUCCACUUCACCUUUUAGAUACUCUGUUGAAAUUUUUAAUCAAUGACACUAUUCCAUGUCAUUAAAAAAAAAAAAUUAAAACACAUUUUCUAAAAAAUAAAUUGUCUGCAGAAAAUGUAUACAUUGCUUAAGGCUCUCUCAAAUUCUUAAAAUAAAUUUGCGUGACACAAAAACUGCGGGUAGUUUUUUUCUCAAGCUUAAAUCUGAAUGCAACACUGUCAUCCUAAUAUUUUGUAGAUAGCCUUCAUUUGUAUUAUAGCUAACAAUGUGUAUGUCCUUCUCAAGUAAGUACUAUUCAGUGAGGCCCCUGUGGUCAGUAUACUAAAUACAAGUUCUUGUCACUUCUACAAUGUUAUUAUUUGUGGUAAAACCUUUAGCACAGGAUUUUUGCAACAAGUUUUUGGUUUGUACCUUCAGAUUGCAUUUAUGCAAUUAUGGCAUUAAAUGCUUUGAGAGCACGUCUGCUGGAUCAUGUGGAUGUGUGCUAAUACCGCUAGCAUGCACAUAUCUGAGACCACAAAAAACAGCACAUAAAUUUCUGGACAAGCAAAAUGAAGAGUGCAGUUGUAGAAGCCAGCUCCAAACCACCUACAAAACAGUUAGGCAUAAAAUUCAAAGAGCAAAAAACCAAGGCUAUGCAGUGCUGUUGUGCAAUUUGAAACAAUUCAGUAUUAAAUUCCAGAAUACAAGCAAUUGCACAAAAAAUAAAAACCUCAGGGAAAAAAAGUAAAAUAAUUUUCAAAUUAGUUCUGGUUUGUGAAUCAAUUUUCAGCUCUCUUGUUUCCACUGAACAACUGGAACUGGAAAGCAAUAAAAUGGAGGAAUUGCUAUCGUAAGGGAUUUUGGAGUGCCUCUGUUUGAUUUUGACAACUGGUGGGGGGAGAGAGGGAAGAAUGAUAUCAAUAAUUUCCAAAGUAAUUUGCCAUUUCUUAUGUUAUUCAAGCCAAGUUAGUGGAAUCAUCCCCAAGAAUGGUAUUACAUGUGGUGCUUGCAAGACACUUUGGGUCAGUUCCUCAGAGAAAUGUGAUUUAUACAGGCAGCCAUUGCAUAUGAUGUCACAAGAACUUGCUGUCUCCACUCACAGCACCCAGUACAGAGUCACAUCAACAGCACCAUAAAUAGCUGCAGUAAGGAAUACAACCCUACCAGCUACGGGUAGCUAAAGAAUGCUUCAGUAAACACGUACUAUGAUCUAUUGAUUUAAUUAAAUAUCCAUAAAUAUCCAUA